UGAAAUGAAUCUGAAAAUUCCAUUUAUUAAAACACAUACAUUGUCCAUGUGGGAUGAAAAUGUGCACAUCACAUUCAGGAUUUACUUUUACUUGCAGAAUCAAAGCUAUCAUGUACACGUUAGGAAUAGUGAAAAGAGAACACAGACAACCGGCAUUUUUUGUCGUUGUUACCAUGAGGAUACACCACGGGGAACAUCUCCCUAAACAUUUUGUGUGAUCAUUCUUGGAGUUCAAUCUGAUAGACCAGUCCAGCCUUAUCUCCACACUACUCUAAUGGGGAGGGGUGGAAGGAGGGGUAGAGGAGAAGGAAAAAAGAAAAAGAAAGGCACAGUGACUAUACAUCAAUGCCACUAAACCGAAUUGCGGCUACAUGGGACAGCCCAGCUUAUCAAAGGGUAUUCGAAAGACAAUAUUCAUUCCAAGAAGGUCACACAUAUCUUACCUCAGUACAGCUGUCUGUUUUAAUUGUUAUUUUU
rnacentral:antisense_RNA from 1 species